GGCGAUCAGAUACCGCCCUAGUUCUAACCGUAAACGAUGACAACCAGCGAUUAAUCGGCGUUAAUAUACGACCCGAUUAGCAGCUUCCGGGAAACCAAAGUUUUUCGUUUCCGGGGGAAGUAUGGUUGCAAAGCUGAAACUUAAAGGAAUUGACGGAAGGGCACCACCAGGAGUGGAGCCUGCGGCUUAAUUUGACUCAACACGGGAAAACUCACCCGGCCCGGACACCGUAAGGAUUGACAGACUGAGAGCUCUUUCUUAAUUCGGUGGGUGGUGGUGCAUGGCCGUUCUUAGUUGGUGGAGCGAUUUGUCUGGUUAAUUCCGAUAACGAACGAGACUCUGGCCUAUUAAAUAGACGGUAUAUUAAAAAGUAUAUCGAGCUUCUUAGAGGGACAAGCGGCGUCUAGCCGCAUGAAAUAGAGCAAUAACAGGUCUGUGAUGCCCUUAGAUGUCCGGGGCUGCACGCGCGCUACACUGAAAGAAUCAGUGUGCAUUUUGCCUAGUUCGGAAGAACCGGGUAACCCAAGUAAAUUCUUUCGUGCUUGGGAUAGGGAAUUGAAAUUAUUUCCCUUAAACGAGGAAUUCCCAGUAAAUGCGGGUCAUAAGCUCGCGUUGAUUACGUCCCUGCCCUUUGUA
rnacentral:rRNA from 1 species